GUCAGCGUUGUGUAGUGGUUUGAGCAUUGGACUACUACUCUGGGGACCUGGGUUCAGAUCCCAGCUCAGCCA